CACGCCCCGCGUGUAGACCCCUGGAAGGGGGCACACCCUCGAGUAAGCGCUGAGCCAUGAACUUCGAGGGUGCGCGCAGCAACCUUAGAUAGAGCCGGCCAGCGGUCAUCCUACCCACGAUUCACGCAGCGAUCACUUCCGUCGAGAGCACUUCCGCCCCCGAUACUGCUGUUGAGACACUCCGGCGCACCUUUGACGUCACGCGGAAAGAAAGCGUUGCAAGAAAGACUUCUAGUGUUGGGUACUGGAGAGUUUAAUGAAAGUUGGAGUUGCUGCUGCUUUAUUCGCUCGUCUGUUUGUGUUCACUGGAAAAGCAACAUUUAAAAACUGCCAUAACUCAACAGUUCAUCACCUUUGCAUAUUUGUCUCACUUUAGAAUAAAUUUCGUAAUUGCAUAUUUGUCUCACUUUAGAAUAAAUAUCGUAACUAAAGACAAAUAAAAAUAAUUGUAAUUUUAAA